rnacentral:rRNA from 1 species
GACAGAGGCCUCGAGCGUUAGGCGGAAUCACUGGGCUUAAAGCGUGUGUAGGCGGAUCGUUAAGUGCCUUGUGAAAUCCCACGGCUUAACUGUGGAACGGCUGGGCAUACUGGCGGUCUUGAGCCAUCUAGGGGCGACUGGAACAAACGGUGGAGCGGUGAAAUGCGUAGAUAUCGUUUGGAACGCCAAUGGUGAAAACAGGUCGCUGGGGAUGAGCUGACGCUGAGACACAAAAGCCAGGGGAGCAAACGGG